UACGUAGGGUGCAAGCGUUGUCCGGAAUCAUUGGGCGUAAAGCGCGCGUAGGUGGCUUCGUAAGUCCGUUGUGAAAGUCAAAGGCUCAACCUUUGAAAGCCGAUGGAUACUGCGGAGCUAGAGUACGGAAGAGGCGAGUGGAAUUCCUGGUGUAGCGGUGGAAUGCGCAGAUUUCAGGAGGAACACCAAUAGCGAAGGCAGCUCGCUGGGACGUUACUGACACUAAGGCGCGAAAGCGUGGGGAGCGAACAGG
rnacentral:rRNA from 1 species